CAGUAGGUAGCUUAUAUUUGAAAGCCCAACACUGAAGAUGUUGAAAAGGUAGUUUACCCCUACUAA
rnacentral:tRNA from 1 species